ensembl:lncRNA novel transcript, antisense to FBXO31 and C16orf95 readthrough
AGCCUUCAAAAACGGAUUUACUUGAAACUGUGAGGAGAAACAAGUGCACGGGUGCAGGUGGCGGCUGCCAGGAUUGCUCCGGUCCUACCUAGUGGGUGCCUACCCAGGCAGGGCACAGCUCCUGCUGCAAGGUCACCUUACCAGGGGGUGCAGAGGUGCUCAUGAUCAGAUGGCACAGCGCUUUCCUAAUGCAGGCAGGCUACAUGGCCCCCAGAAACAACCAAAUGCAGAAUCAGGCCAAAACCCACACAGCCCUGACCCCCUCGUGCUCUGGCUGGUCUCCCGGUCAGCAGCCCCUGAGGGCCGGCAGGCAGGCCACUGAGCUGUGGGUGACACAGGGUAGUCCACGGUUUGCACAGUCUCAUUCCCAUUCAAAGACAGGCCCCAAGGCUGGGGCGCAGGGGCUCACGCCUGUAAUCCCAGCACUUUGGGAGGCCGAGGCGGGCAGACAGCUUGAGCCUAGUA